rnacentral:rRNA from 1 species
GACGGAGGGUGCUAGCGUUGUUCGGAAUCACUGGGCGUAAAGGGCGCGUAGGCGGCUUGACAAGUCAAAGGUGAAAUCCCUCGGCUCAACUGAGGAACUGCCUUUGAAACUGUCUGGCUUGAGGCCGGGAGGGGGUAGCGGAAUUCCCAGUGUAGCGGUGAAAUGCGUAGAUAUUGGGAGGAACACCAGUGGCGAAGGCGGCUACCUGGACCGGUACUGACGCUGAUGCGCGAAAGCGUGGGUAGCAAACAGG